rnacentral:rRNA from 1 species
UACGUAGGGUCCGAGCGUUGUCCGGAUUUACUGGGCGUAAAGAGCGCGCAGGCGGCUGGUCAAGUCCGAUGUGAAAGCUCCCGGCUUAACUGGGAAAUUGCAUCGGAAACUGAUCGGCUGGAAGGUGGGAGAGGGUAGCGGAAUUCCCGGUGUAGUGGUGAAAUGCGUAGAUAUCGGGAGGAACACCAGUGGCGAAAGCGGCUACCUGGCCCAUUCUUGACGCUGA